rnacentral:lncRNA from 1 species
CCCUCAAGGACAGUGACAGGAAAUUAUAAGCGGAAUAACAUCUUUCCUCUCUUGCUCCUGGUCAAAAGUGUUUUUAAUCACAUCCACAGAAAUCAACUUGGGACAGCCUGUUAAGAACAGGUUCUUGUGUCAACCGACAAAGCUCAUUGGCAUUUGUGAAUGAAUGCUUCUUCUGAAGCCAUGGAGACUUAACACACUCAAGUUCUUCAUCAUCGUUCAUCAUGCUGGGAUGUGGGACUCUUCAGGAACCGAAAAGGUCACGUCGAAGCCUUAGGAAGGAUGAGGUCCACGGGCUAUCACCACAGAUCCCAGAGACAGCAGGGUGAUCCAGACAUUGAUGGUGAGCCCCAGACAUCGGCAGAAGAGGCCCUGAUAGAAGCUGGAUUGGGAUUUUCUGGUUGCAUCCUUUCUCAUCAAGGAGGACCAGGCAGCAACCCUUGGUGUCUCUGAGCAGCCAGUACAGGAAGACCUGAUUCAGAGACAGAGCUCAUUCACUUAGUGCAGUAGGAAGAGUAGGGUGCCCAGGUGAGUUCCCAGACAGCUACAUCAGUGGACUACCAUAGUACCGCCCAUCUCAUGAUCACUGGUUCAUAGGGCCUCAUCCCUACUUAAUCUAGUGUUUGGCAUGGAAUCAGACACCCAGUGCUCAGUGUGUGCGGUGGACACAAAUGUGCUGCCUGACGUCUUUUCAUGAGGGAAGUGUGAUGUGAUCAGUAAGUGGCCUCCAUUUCCAGCCCCUUAAGGGUUCCUCUAGAAUCUCCCUGAGACUGUGGGGCAAUCAUAGGGUUUUGCCCUAGACUGAUCAUCUCUUCUUCUAUUAUGGGCCUUUCCUUCCUUAAGUAUAGGUUCCAAGGGUGAGACUCAAAAACAGCAUCCCAUAUCUCCUGUAGGAUCUGGGAGUCCCAUUGGCCUAUGGUCCUGUGGAGCCAGGUAAUGAGAGAUUAACCUCAUAGGCACAUGUCAUGGGAAGAGUGGCCAUUGAGAUGACAGCCAAGUUGCCACUGUGGCCUAUGGGCUUCACAUGGUAU